rnacentral:lncRNA from 1 species
CUCAAAGAUUUCAAAGUGCUCCUGCUUGGCUCAACAUAAAGGAAACGACGCACACUUCAAUAUGGGCGUCUCGUAAUUUUUGUUUACGUUGAGAAGAUGCAUUUUCUACAUUUUGUGAUCCACGGAGCGCACUCGAUACUUACCUCAUAAUGUUGUCUAGACUGACGUGUCAAAUUAAAUCUGUUGAUAGAUAGCCAUGUGCCGAACCUCACUUUUCAACACCUUUCUUGUGAAAAUCCUUCAUUAAAUUUUUGCCCCGCAGAGAUGCUACGUGAAGAAAAAUUAGACCCCCUCCUGACUUUGCGCUAUUCAAUAGCGCAAAAUCGGGAGGGGGCAAGAAAUUCAAAGUCGUAUAAAGCUCGUCGUUGACCGAGAAAUAAAAUAUGAAAAUUAAAAGCCAUGAAGCCGACCCCUAAAUAGAGUUCACCGAAGGGAAAGCCCCACAACGAAAUAAUAUUAAAUUUCUUGUAUUACCAUAAAUUCCCCGUUUACGAAGAAUAAAGCUCUUAGUUAUGAUAACUUAAGCUUGUUUCAGCCGUUUGGGUUCGAUCUUGUUUUCUUUAACAGCGGCCACAUUUUAGGAAGGAGUUAAGGUAAGUGAAAUUCAGCUUGAAAAUCAUGGUUACACACAUAUCACUACAAUUGUGGUUUCUUGCUAUUUUUCAUAAAACCACCGUUGAAUGCAAACAUAUUUAUGAAAUCAGCCUGCAGGUAAACAAGACCAAAUCUUUCCGCAAGACAUGAAUAGAGCCGGUAUACAUGACAUAAAUGAAGUCGGACAACAUAUCGAAUGGUACGCGAAGUCAAUGUUAUAAAUUGUGGAUGAAAUUGAGCAGGGAGAAGUACGAAAACUGAAAGAUUUAGACAAUCAGCCGUUCGUGGGAGGUUUAAAGCUUCGUGAAGAAAGCCGGAGAAAGGAUAGCAAAGUGAAAAUCAUUCAAGGUACAUACGCACCGGUUGUGACUGAAAAACCAGCCCAAGUUAAAGUCCCGGAGCAUGUGCACAGUCGCCGUGACGCAUCUAACCUCAGUAAUGCCCUCCAACAGUACUCAAAGUUCAUGUUACAAGUUGUGGAAGAGUGUGAGCAGAACAACAGUGUAGCGGAAACAGCCCGCAAACUGGAAGAUUUGAACAAGCAGGAUUUCAUGAAAGACUAAACGAAUAUCAUGAAAAACUGGCGAGCUAUCCCAAAAGAUAUGACUUCUUAACUAUAACACUUUUAGACAAGUAAAAGAAAUAGCAUAUCUGCUUCAGUCUUAUAUCUUAUGCUUUACUCUAGAUGUUCAAGCGCUGCGCGGACUAUAAGUUCCACAGGACGGACUGUUUUGGCUUAAAGUAGACUUCACAGAGUUUAUAUAAAAUUAAGGUUGCAUAAGCAGUUCGACUGUUGCUUGUUAUAGUAUGUAAAGGAGUUACGUCUUUUUAGUAAUAAGAUAUGCACUCUAAAAGUGAACUGUGCGUUGCAAGAAUUGUAAUCCAUCAGAUGAACUGUUCCGGUUCCCCUCUCAAAGGUGUUAACGAUAUUACAUUGAAACCAGAGUGGGUGGCUAUAGCUAAAUCAAGAAACAGGAACAAUGAUUUCGAUCCAGUUGCAGUCUCAAGAGCUCUUUUCCUUCUGAUUAUUUCUUGUUUUAUAACAAGAACCACUUACUUCAUUUAACGAUUUAGUCGAUAGUCGAUUCGCUUAAUUUCUUGCACCCCUUUCGAACUGUGAAAUUGGCAUCCCGCUUCAAACAAGCGCUCUUUCCAAUCCCGCGAGCAACCCAUUUUCGCAAUUGUUCAAAUUGAAAAGCUCUGAAAUAGAGGACUUCUGUGCGCAAGGCGUUAUUUUUGUUAAAGGCUGAUAGUUUCGAAAGAUAUUGUUUGGGGCUGAG